rnacentral:rRNA from 1 species
AUUGAACGCUGGCGGCAGGCCUAACACAUGCAAGUCGAGCGAGAAAGGUCUUCGGACUGAGUACAGCGGCGGACGGGUGAGUAAAGCGUAGGAAUCUACCUGGUAGUGGGGGAUAACUUGGGGAAACUCAAACUAAUACCGCAUACGCCCUACGGGGAAAGCGGGGACCUUCGGGCCUCGCGCUAUCAGAUGAGCCUGCGUAGGAUUAGCUAGUUGGUGAGGUAAAGGCUCACCAAGGCGACGAUCCUUAGCUGGUCUGAGAGGAUGAUCAGCCACACUGGGACUGAGACACGGCCCAGACUCCUACGGGAGGCAGCAGUGGGGAAUAUUGCGCAAUGGGCGAAAGCCUGACGCAGCCAUGCCGCGUGUGUGAAGAAGGCCUUAGGGUUGUAAAGCACUUUCAAUUGGGAAGAAAAGUUGGUCGUUAAUAGCGCCGGCCCUGACAUUACCUUUAGAAGAAGGACCGGCUAACUCCGUGCCAGCAGCCGCGGUUAAUGUCGUACGAU